rfam:Triticum aestivum genome assembly, contig: Triticum_aestivum_CS42_TGACv1_scaffold_129853_2BL
GUACUACUCCCUCCGUCCGAAAAUACUUGUCAUCAAAAUGGACAAAAAGGGAUGUAUCUAGAACUAAAAUACAUAUAGAUACAUCCCCUUUUAUUCAUUUUGAUGACAAGUAUUUCCGGACGGAGGGAGUAGAUA